GACGAACGCUGGCGGCGUGCUUAACACAUGCAAGUCGAACGGAAAGGCCCUGCUUUUGCGUGGUUCUCGCGUGGCGCACGGGUGUGUAACCCGUGAGUCUCCUUCCCUUUACUUUGUGAUAACUUCAGGCAACUGGGGCUAAUACCGGAUAGCAGCUCCUGCUGCAUGGUGGGGUUUGGACCUCUUAGGCGGUUGUGGAUGGACUCGCGGGUUAUCAGCUUGUUGGUGGGGUAGUGGCUUACCCAGGCCUUGACGGGUAGCCGGCCUGGGAGGGUGAACGGCGACAUGGGGACUGAGAGAGGGAGCAGACGCCAACGGGAGGCAGCGGUGGGGAGUAUGGCACAAUGGGGGGAAGCCUGAGGCAGAAACGCUGCGAGCGGGAUGAAGGUCUUCGGGGUGUAAACCGCUGUAGCCUGUGACGAAGCGGGAGUGACGGUAAUGGGAAAAGAAGCACCGGCUAACUACGUG
rnacentral:rRNA from 1 species